AUUGAAUGCUGGCGGCAGGCCUAACACAUGCAAGUCGAGCGGAUGAAGGGAGCUUGCUCCUGGAUUCAGCGGCGGACGGGUGAGUAAUGCCUAGGAAUCUGCCUGGUAGUGGGGGAUAACGUCCGGAAACGGGCGCUAAUACCGCAUACGUCCUGAGGGAGAAAGUGGGGGAUCUUCGGACCUCACGCUAUCAGAUGAGCCUAGGUCGGAUUAGCUAGUUGGUGGGGUAAAGGCCUACCAAGGCGACGAUCCGUAACUGGUCUGAGAGGAUGAUCAGUCACACUGGAACUGAGACACGGUCCAGAUCCCUAGGGGAGGCAGCAGUGGGGAAUAUUGGACAAGGGGCGAAAGCCUGAUCCAGCCAUGCCGCGGGUGUGAAGAAGGUCUUCGGAUUGUAAAGCAUUUUAAGUUGGGAGGAAGGGCAGUAAGUUAAAACCUUGCUGUUUGGACGUGACCAACAGAAUAAGCACCGGCUAACUUCGU
rnacentral:rRNA from 1 species